rnacentral:rRNA from 1 species
AGAGUUUGAUCCUGGCUCAGAAUCAACGCUGGCGGCGUGCCUAACACAUGCAAGUCGAACGCGAAAGCCCCUUCGGGGGUGAGUAGAGUGGCGUCCGGGUGAGUAACACGUGGGUAAUCUACCUCCGGGUGGGGAAUAACUUGCCGAAAGGCGAGCUAAUACCGCAUAACGCAGCGGCACCUGAUGGUGAAUAGUUGUUAAAGCGGGGGACCGUAAGGCCUCGCGCCUGGAGAGGAGCCCGCGGCAGAUUAGCUAGUUGGUGAGGUAACGGCUCACCAAGGCCGCGAUCUGUAGCUGGUCUGAGAGGACGGCCAGCCACACUGGCACUGACAUACGGGCCAGACUCCUACGGGGGGCAGCAGUGGGGAAUUUUGGGCAAUGGGCGAAAGCCUGACCCAGCAACGCCGCGUGAAGGAGGAAAUCCUUCGGGAUGUAAACUUCACAAGCAAGGGAAGAGCGCAGCGGGGGUAAUAUCCCGGCUGUCCGACGGUACCUUGCGUAAGCCACGGCUAACUACGUGCCAGCAGCCGCGGUAAUACGUAGGUGGCAAGCGUUGUUCGGAAUUAUUGGGCGUAAAGGGCGCGUAGGCGGCCCGUUAAGUCAGUCGUGAAAGCCCGGGGCUCAACCCCGGAGGGUCGACUGAUACUGGCGGGCUAGAGUACGGAAGAGGUAGCUGGAAUUCCCGGUGUAGCGGUGAAAUGCGUAGAUAUCGGGAGGAACACCUGAGGCGAAGGCGGGCUACUGGGCCGAUACUGACGCUGAGGCGCGAAAGCCAGGGGAGCAAACGGGAUUAGAUACCCCAGUAGUCC